GACGAACGUUGGCGGCGUGCUUAACACAUGCAAGUCGAACGGAAAGGCCCUGCUUUUUUGGGGUGCUCGAGUGGCGAACGGGUGAGUAACACGUGAGUAACCUGCCCUUGACUUUGGGAUAACUUCAGGAAACUGGGGCUACUACCGGAUCGGAGCUCCUGCUGCAUGGUGGGGGUUGGAUAGUUUCGGCUGUUGGGGAUGGACUCGCGGCUUAUCAGCUUGUUGGUUGGGUAGUGGCUUACCAAGGCUUUGACGGGUAGCCGGCCUGGGAGGGUGACCGGCCACAUUGGGACUGAGAUACGGCCCAGACUCGUACGGGAGGCAGCAGGGGGGAAUAUUGCACAAUGGGCGGAAGUCUGAUGCAGCAACGCCGCGUGCGGGAUGACGGCCUGCGGGUUGUAAACCGCUGUCGCCUGUGACGAAGCGUGAGUGACGGUAAUGGGUAAAGAAGCACCGGCUAACUACGUG
rnacentral:rRNA from 1 species